rnacentral:rRNA from 1 species
AGGUCUUGACAUCUUCUGACAAACCUAGAGAUAGGCCGUUCCCUUCGGGGACAGAAUGACAGGUGGUGCAUGGUUGUCGUCAGCUCGUGUCGUGAGAUGUUGGGUUAAGUCCCGCAACGAGCGCAACCCUUAUUAUUAGUUGCCAGCAUUUAGUUGGGCACUCUAAUGAGACUGCCGGUGACAAACCGGAGGAAGGUGGGGAUGACGUCAAAUCAUCAUGCCCCUUAUGACCUGGGCUACACACGUGCUACAAUGGACGGUACAACGAGUUGCGAGACCGCGAGGUUAAGCUAAUCUCUUAAAGCCGUUCUCAGUUCGGAUUGUAGGCUGCAACUCGCCUACAUGAAGUUGGAAUCGCUAGUAAUCGCGGAUCAGAAUGCCGCGGUGAAUACGUUCCCGGGCCUU